GCCAUGGAUGAAGAAGACUUGGUAGCUUUCAUAUUGAAUGGUUUAGAUGAAGAUUAUGAACCUGCUAUUUCUGGAUUGGUGACAAGAGUAGAACCUGUUACUUUGGCAAAAUUGUAUUCUGUGUUGUUGAAUUUUGAGA